rnacentral:lncRNA from 1 species
GAAAGAGGAACUUCAAAAAAAAAACCUCACAAACGUCAUCAUUCUCAUAGACACCUGGACAAUCCUGCAACAGAAUUUCCACACGCACCAUUUUAGGACUUCGUGGCUGACUCCUUUUUGCUUCUUCUUCCUUCAUCUAAGAUGACCACCCCUUCCCUUCCUCCCGAAGAAAGAGGCAUUAACCCCAACCUGUCCACCUGCCGAGAGUCUCAGUGCAACAAUCAUGGUAACUGUGUGACUCCUACGGGUGGUGGUACAGAUCUAGUAUGUAACUGUGAUCUGGGCUACAAGGGUGACUCCUGCGAGGACACGAUCAAUGGGGCAUUAAGUGUACCUUUGACCCUGAGCGUGUUUGCUGUCCUCGUUGGCCUGGUGAUCCUGGCUUUCAUCGCUGCCAAGUUCCGGCAGAAACAAAAGAAGAAGCGAAGGAAACUACUGGAAGAAAAAGUCUACAGCAAUACUGCAUAAUGUGGAUAACUGUCGAACAGAUAAACUUUGGUGAUCAAAUUGUGACUACCACUAUAAGAAUUAUGCUGCAACAUCCCACAGACUCGAGCAAUAACUUCACAAACUGAGUGCAAAGGCGUAUGGGAGAGUUACUUCUUAUACAGUAUUUUUCCAUUUGUACAAAAAGUAUCUAUCUCUAAUACCGCAAGCCACAUGCUGAUUCAUUUUGUGCCUCUUCUCUGAAACCAACUAAACUGAUGCCAAUAGAGUCAUCCAGGCAAAACGUGCAGUGCAAAUGUCUGUAUUUUAAUCAACAUCAGCUUCCUUGAUCUCAUUUCUCAAACACUAAGGCAUGCUUCUGCAAGUAGUUUAAACUCUGACUCUUGUUAGUAAAACAAUACAAAUGUUCACCUAUAAUUUACCUUCUCUGAGGGAGCUGCAGUUUAGCUUAAGUAAAGCAAGUGGUUGUUAUUUUGACAGUGAAGGCUCCAGACAGAUGACAUUUACGAUGAUUCUGUAGACCGUUUAAUGGGAAUCUGAUAAGCCAGAAGCUGAUUUGACUCCGUCCAGUUUAUAUAUAUUUUAUUUAGAAAAUAUGCACUUUUUUUCCACUCUUGUGGUUUUAUUUCAUUGCUAUGUUACGUACAGCAGUUGCUGCUGGUAUUAUAUUGUUUCCCUUGAAUUUCUUUCUUUCUUUUUUUUUAAGGCGUGCGUGUGUGUGUGUGUGUGUUAGUGCCUUUUAACACUUUGGGUUUUUGGGAAGUAUUUCUACCUAGUUCUAAGUGCCCUGCCUUUAAUUCUUUUGAUGCUGUGGUAACAUAAAUGCACCUGUACAUCACUGGCCUGCUUUCGUUCAGAUUUCUGUUCAUGCUUAUGAAAAUAAUGCAUUUUCAAUCUGUGCAGACACAAUCCUGCAUGGCUGUCAGUAACAUGCACAUAUUGUACAGAUGGUAGGAGAGCGGUCAGAGCUGAUUUCAGUCUUGGCAUUUUCAAAACCUGAUAGUAUGUGUGCUUUUAAAUGAGUUUCUGUGCCCUCUGAAUCUCAGGCCACAAAAUGAUUACCGCUCAAUAAACUUCUGGACCUGUAAAGAUGAAAGCUGCAGAGUAUCUUGGUACAGAAUAAGUAAUUAAGUUCCUCAAGCUUGUAGCCAGUGUUAAGUGCCUACUGUAUUGCUUCUUUAUUAUGUUCACAACCACCUAAGUUAUUAUAUUUGUACAGACCUUUUACCUGGUAGCUACUGGUGACCACAAACAUAAACUGGUCAUCAACAACACAGUAGCAAUAAGUUUUGUAAAUAUCUGCCCCUCUAACCACUGGGUAAAAAUCACAAAACGGUAAUGUUACUGUAGAUUUUCAGAUCUGCCAUAUACAAUACUCAAUUAUAUUAUCGUGUUUUUAUGUGUGCAUGAAUGUGCUGGACAUUUAUAUUAAUAUGACCAUUGUUGAUGAGCAGGGUUUCUCAGUCUAUGCAUCCUAUAGUGUCUUCCACUGGCUUGUAUACAGUUUGAAUUAUAUAGACAGAAGAGGAUGUCUCACUGUGUUGUUUACACUCACAGUAUUUGAAGAAAAGAAAUGCACAUUAACUUUUGUAUGCUUUCAAAAUAAUAUGAAAAAACUCUGUAAUAUUUAUAUGCAACCCCUGUAUCAGUGCA